ensembl:processed_transcript D430001F17Rik RIKEN cDNA D430001F17 gene
CUUAGGUUUACCAGCAAGGACAGGCAUGUACUCUCCCCAGUGCUCUCUCCCAUGCCCUUGCCAGCUGCUCCGCUAUGCAGUGAGUCCUGGAUGUCAAGGUCAAGACAGAGAAAUCCGUGCCCACUCCCCACGGGGACGAAACGCGGAUCCGCCCCACGCUGCCUGCAGUCGCCGGGCCCCACGACCCUGGGCGGGCUGCCUGACCCCUCAGCCACGGCCUCACACGCGGCGAUGGGAGCCGGGGACCCGCAACCCUGGGAGGGAGCCUCCCGCCAGCUUCUACCUGUCGAGACAGUCCGGACGCUGCAGGCGCGGCCAUCUUUUCCCGGGCGGCUGUAGGUCAAACCCAAAUGAAAAGAGACUACUGGCGCCAGAGCGCACGCGCGCGCGCCAGCGUGAUCGCUCGGCUUUCUGGGAAAUGUACGCGUCAGGAGCCCGGGAGUGUGGGUAAGAACCUCUUGCAUGCUGGGAGUUGUAGUCCGUACCUGCCGCGGUCCGGCUGGACUCAUGGGAAGCCCUGCCUACUGUGAGCAUCACUAUUCCCUUGGCAGGGAUCCUGAACUGUGUGAGAACAGAGAGACCCAGCUGGGCGCUCCCAUGCAGGCCCCGACUCCCCGUUCUCUCUGCUCUUGACUGUAGGCGUAACCAGCUGCUUCAGGCUCCUGCCUUGACUUCCCUGAAGUGAUAGACUGCAACCUGGGAUUGUGAGCUAAGUAAACCCUUCUCUUAGUAAGGAGACUCUUGUCAUGAGCCUGUUCCUGACUCUCCACCAGGCAUGGAGUUAGCCUGAUCCCUGAUCCCCGAUCCCCGGCUUUUGCUGCAUUUCCGACAUACAGCGUGCACUGAGCUGAUGACAUAUCUGAUGUGGUUCAAGGCUCCCGAGAGAGCUAAAAGGUACCUGAGUCUGAGGAGCCCUCAAUGGGGAAUAGCAAGCCAGACAGCUUGCUAAUGGACAGACAGAAUGAGACACCUGGCUGGCCCUUCAAAUGGGCAGAAGUUUCUUACCUUCCCAUACUUAAUGCCAGGAUUAGAAUCCAGGCCCAGAGACCAGCCCACCUCUGUCCAAUGGGACCCAAUCUCUCGGCAGCAAUUCUGGCUCUCGGUUUUUAAUCUUAGAUUCCAGUUUUCUUUGUUCCUUAAUUUUCCCUGUGGGAUGUUUUUUUUUUUUUUCCCAUAGAGCUUUGUGUGGUUCUGUUAUGGAGCAUAGAAGGAGGGCUGAUUUCUCUGUUGGGAGGUGAGGGGAGCACUCUGUCACUCUGAUGGAAUGGAUUGGAAGUGGGUGGAUGCUGGCCAACCUGUGUCCUGCUAAGAUGCAGCCUAGGGGAAUGUCCGUCCCUCACCCCCAGCUGCCUUCGCUCUGCUGGCUGCUGGUCACGUGUCCCUGUUUACCUGCACAGGCAGUCAUUAUUCACCCCUUCCCACGUACCCCCACACUUGCACACAAAGCCAGAGAGUGGCUUACAUUUUCUUUUCUUUCUUUCUUUUAUUUUUUUUUAUUUUUAUUUUUUUUUUUUAAAAGAACCUUCCCCAAACCCAUUCUAAAAUGUCAAGUGUUUCAGUUUGAGGAAAAAAAAAGCUGAAAAAACCGUGACUCAUGACAAGGCUGACAAACAGCUCUGAGGGUAUGCUGGUGAGUCACUCUGAGACUGUAGCGGCGAGGGCCAGCGGUGGGGAGAUUGUCAGGAGACCAGCCAGUAAAAUUCCACAACUCUCCCGAGCAGAGUAGGAGGUAAUUCAAAAACCCUGGGAUUUUUCCAGCUCUCAUUUCAUGUAGGACUCAGGCUGCUCUUAGAUAUGUUGAUCUCCUCAGGAAAUCAUCAAGAAUGAUUACCAAAAAUAUAAAACAAAAAAAAAAACC